CUACAAACCGUUUCAUGAUAGCCCACGAGGCCACGACCCGGUGUCCCCACUCCCUAGUUCCUCAACAGCUCGUGAGUGUUGAGCGGCAGUUUUGACGAUGAAUGGCGGGCGGCACCUGGCUUGGUGGUCGGCGGCAUGAUGCUCAGCGGGUUAGAUCGGCGAGAAUGGAUUCAGACGCGAAGCAUUUUGAGCAGGCGUGUGGCCUCGAUGUCGGGGCAGCGCAGCAGGUGGUGGUCGCGGCGGCGCUGCAAGUGGUGGUCGCGACCGCACUGCUAGUGGUGGUCACGGCGGCGUUGGUUUGACCACGGUCGCCACGGACUGCAGAAGGACGAGCAUCCCGCGCCGACACCGGUAUUUAAGUGUCCUCCGUAAUUCCCUUUGGAUCUCAUUCUGUGCUGCCUCAUUUCUUGCCCACGAGGUGUUUGUUUUAAUGCCUGAAUGGGAACUGCUACUGACAAUGUGCUCAAAGAAGACUCUUAACAGUGAUAUAUUGAUAGGAACACUCCAUUUUUUCCAUUGGUGGGUGGUCAUCGAUUCGCAGUAGGCCAACUAGUCGUGCAACAUCGCUAGUGGUCCUCAGUGUCAGGUUUCGUUGACCGUUGGCUUGCUUAUUCAUGUGCUUUGCAUCUCCUCCCUGCAAGAUGGUCAGUAACCAGGUCUUCGCCGAUAGAGCUCUCCAGUGUCGCCUCCUCCCCAUAAAUUUGUAGGAGUAUAUGUCUAUUUAUCCGCCCAAUAUGGUUAUAUUUAUUAAAGAAGUUUAGUUAUCUGCCCAUAA